AGCGUAGGUGGCCAAACAUGUCAACUGUGAAAACCCGGAGCUCAACUCCGGACUUGCAGUUGAAACUGGUAGGCUUGAGGACGGUAGAGGAAGACGGAACUGCCAGUGUAGGGGUAAAAUCCUUAGAUAUUGGCAGGAACGCCGGUGACGAAGGUGGUUUUCUGGGCCGGUUCUGACACUGAUGCUCGAAAGCCAGGGGAGCGAACGG
rnacentral:rRNA from 1 species